rnacentral:lncRNA from 1 species
AUGAUGAUGAUGAUGAUGAUCAGGACUCAUGAUGAUGAUGAUGAGGACUCGAUGAUGAUGACGACUCAUGAUGAUGAUGAUCAGGACUCAUGAUGAUCAGGACUCAUGAUGAUGAUGAUGAUGAUCAGAACUCAUGAUGAUGAUCAGGACUCAUGAUGAUGAUGAUGAUCAGGACUCAUGAUGGUGAUGAUGAUGAUGAUCAGUACUCAUGAUGAUGAUGAUCAGAACUCAUGAUGGUGAUGAUGAUGAUCAGGACUCAUGAUGAUGAUGAUGAUCAGGACUCAUGAUGAUGAUCAGGACUCGAUGAUGAUGAUGAUCAUGACUCGAUGAUGAUGAUGAUGAUCAGGACUCAUGAUGAUGAUGAUGAUCAG